rnacentral:misc_RNA from 1 species
CUUCGCAUGUUAUAAAUUGACAUUUUACCUGGGGAAAAAUGAAAGUAGCACAGGUGAAUGGAAGGCUAAUUAUCAUAAUAUUUAAAAAAUAUCAUUGAUAGAACUGGGAACGAAGAAAAGAAUAGUACAAAUUCUUCUCCUGAAGAAAUAGCUGACAUGCUGCUUAAGUGGAUGCUUUCUGGUCUAUGGCUGUAGUAAAUUUGAUAACCUAAGCAUUACUCAAUGGUGCAACAAAAUUGACCAGCCAAAGGGAAGGUCUUAAUCGAAAACAAUAUAAAGAGAUAUCCUCGAGAUAAAUUGCUUGGAGCUGCUGGCAAAAUUUGAAAGGGUUUGAGAAACAGGGGAGGUUGUUGGUGUUGCAAAUGGAGCAGCUGAGUUGUAGGACUAGCUUGGCCAAGUUGCUAAAUAAUUCGAGUUGGCUGAGCAGGAUUGGAUUUGGAGGUACAUUCUAAGAAUUAUGGUGCCAUUGUUCAUUUAAUGCUGCAGAAUUCUGCUAGACCAGACCAGUAAGGAGCACUUCCCUCAGCGACUUACCUAAGAAGAGUAGGAGACCAACUUUUGCACUGAUGUGAAUGCAUUUGUCCCAGCUACAAGCUGGUGAUUUGGGGUACUUGUAUGCCCCCAUCUACAUUGGUUGCUUCUACAAGACACUUUGAAUAAAAUCUUUUACCACUAAAAGGGGGGCAAAAGGAAACUUAAGAAUGAGAACUAAAAAUGGAAGGUGAAAUACUUUUCCUGGACAAACUGCUUCUCUUUACCAAUUGAAAACCCAACCAAACCUACAAUGAAAAGAUGUAGCAAUUAAUGCCACCAAAAGAUCCCAAUCUAAAAGCAAAACUGAAAUACCAAAUAAAUAAAACCAAUAUUCUUUCCAUCCCUUAAGAUUCUUCCCACAGAACAUAAAUCCAUGUAGUCUUAUUGCCAUCCUGAAUCUUUCCAGGUUUCACUUCAUAUCUUCUUCCUCCGCCAAAGUGGCAGCAACCAUCAUCAAAAUUGAGAGCAUAACUAGAAGGAUCAUAUUGGAAAUUGACCUGCUGUUUGCCUCCAUUCUUCACGGCCUUCUUCACUGCUGCCUUCACUCUCCAAAACAAGCUCUUGCAUUGCUUCUUACUGAAACUAUUCAUCCAUUCCAAUCCCCCAAUCAAACCCAUAUUCAAACCCAAAAAGAGAUAUAUCUUGAUGAACUAGGAAGUUGGCUGGAAAAAGUCUCCGGCUUUAUAAAGAGAAGCAGAGUAACAGUAACUUGCCAAAGAAGCAGAGGUGUGAGAAUAAAAACAACCGAAAAAAAGGCCUCAACUUUUGAAGGUGGGGAAACAAGAAUGGACGGGGAAAGAAAGAAAAAGCAAAUCUUUUGGGUCUUUCAAAGAAGCUGCUACAGCUACAGCUGCCAGUCUCCAUAGGCAUGAGCUCUUUUUGGCUUUACAUUGGGAUGCUCAAAUUCCAUCAUCUAAUACAAGAAAAGGUUGAGAGAGAAGAAGAGAAAGAAAGACAAUAAAAAA